UUAACUCCUUGAUUUCAGCAUCAUCCUCUGCUCAGCUGGAUGAAGCACCUCUGAUUUUGCUUUUCAACAUGGCAGAAAAAGAAAACAGUUUCCCCAGAAAAAGUGCUAAAAAGUAAAAGUUUCUGAAAGACAAGUUAUCAUUGAAAAGAGUUCCUUCAGUUGAUGAAUAAAGCCACAGUUCAACAGUUUGCUCAAAUGUGCAGCCGCAGACUUACCUGAGCAUCACUGAGGAACUUACAAGCAAAUGCCACUCUGUCUCGCACAGCUACAUUAUUUUCAUAC